GAAGAUUUCUGCUUGAGGCAAACCCAGCUCAUGGGUGCGGCACCUGUUUUUGAAACUGGCCGCUGGGGUUGGGCAGAAAAAAAAAAGGAAAGAGGAAAGCUGACGUAUAUAUGAAGGUAUAUAUACCUUUCAGUACUAAUUAUAAAACAGAUUUCUCACUAUACAUUGUGCUGAUCUGGUUAGUACUGCAAAGGCAACGCUAAGUGAGCACUGAGGGCUCGAUAAUAAUUUUCGUUUAAAUCAUAAGUGACCGGCAGGCGUCGUGUUUAAAUAUAUGACGUCAUAUAAACAGAGCAGAUUAGCGUGAGGGCAAUCAGUGCAGGGCAGCAACCACAAAGAAGAAACAUGCUGCUCCAGAGUCAGAGCACAAACCACAGGCGAGAGUUAAUAACGUACAAAGGGAAUCCAAUAAGCAACAGCCACUAAAACAACCACAUAUAGUAAAUAUAUAUGACAUAAUCAGUAAAAAAGCAGGUUUUAAAAUAAAGAUGUGCAUUUCUCUGAUCUCCAACAGGUAAUUCCACACCUGGCUUGCGUAUAACAAAGGCAAUUUAGUUUUAAGGUUUAUGACCUAUUCUGAGACCUGUUGAGGGCAACUUUUUCUAUACAUUUAGAGAAAGGAAGGACUGACCCAUUUGCUAUGGAUGACAGCAUUUGUAAUGAAAGAACUUACCCAUUGUGUCUACAGCAAUUGGUUAUCAGGUGACUGAUUUGUCAUUAAUACACCUACACCUGCCAUUUUGUGGUGGACACUAAGUGCACAGAAGGUUUAAUAAACCUUUUUUUUCUUGCUGUUUGAUACAAUUGUGUUUCAUGGCAACAGUAAAAUGUCACAAUCUGCUCACAGUCCAGUUUUUUUUCCUUCUGCUUCUUCCACCCACCAGAGUCCUUCAGCCUUUUCAUCUCAUUCUCAUCCCAGGAUGUCAAACACUGUCGGUUUGUCAGAUUCCGUUGGCAUCGCCUGAUACGUACAAGAUGUCAUUUGGCGUAAGUGCCUUGACGCACCGGACACAGCGGUGUUGGGUGCCUAGAGAUAAUAGUCCUGUCUAAAAGGGUAACAAUGAGGCAGUAUGGGUGGUGGUUGCGUUCCCUGUUUGUCUGCAGUAUGUGUCACGAUUUUGGAGCGCUGGAUUUAGCAUCUACUUCACCGACACAUUCUCAUCUCCGGCCAUAAAAUGAUUCUAUUUUGUCAUAUACCGUCUACUAGCUCACAGCGUGUUAGUUGGCACUGGUCUCUUAAUGCAUUCACUUUGCUCCCACUCCGAGUGACACUAUAUAAGGCACGUUUCUGAGGAGCCAGUGGCUUGGACAAAAUGACAAUAUUUGAUGGCUCAAGAAUGAAAACAGACACAUCUUUCAUUCUGCACCCACUCAACUUUUAGCCACUCCCUACCCGGUCCAUCCUGUCUGUUUGAGUCAGUCCCGGAUCUCGGGCUGCUAUUGUCUGACAACCAGCAGGCAGUGAUAAGAUAUUGAUGAUGUGUUGUCGACCACUAGAUGUCAGCAUCAACCAGCAACUUCACCUGUGAUCACAUGCAGUAGAUCCCCGACAGUGACAGACUGACCUCUCCUCGUGCCCAGUGCUUUGCUCAGGCUGUCGUCUUGACAGUAACCUAGAACAGUUUGAAACACUGCUUGAAGCAGCCCCUUGAAAUAUUACUAGCCUUUAGAUGGGUCCAGAAAGGGAUUCAAUCUUCCAAGAUAGGCAGGUGUAGAAAGCAGCCAAGAGAAGUAGUAGUACAGCCAAAUACACAAAGAACACAUUACCAAAGUAUCGUGAACCAUUGACGAGUGUUUGUAUAAUGUCAGAAAGUGUUUUGCUCCCAUAAUCUGUGUUGGAGCAGCUAAGCUAAACAAACUUUCAUCAAAUGUUGAAUCCUUUGAUUUUUUACUGGAGGCAUUUAUGAAACUGCAACAACCAGAUCAAACAGUGGUAGCAACACUUUUCACACAACCUCAGCACAGAAAAAAUGGCAUUAAUAAAAAGGUUGCUUAAAAAGAUAAGAUUAAAAUCAAGAAUUAAAGACUUACUGCCUUUAAUUCUUGAUUUUAAUCUUAUCGAGUCAGACUGUCAGUGAACCGAUGCAGCCGGAGCUUACGCAACCAGAGGAGCGGCUCUACUGGAGCUUCCAGUUCACGACCUGGUGUGAGGAGUGGCUGUGUUCAAAAACCUGCAACUAGAGCACUGACCACAAAACAAAGGGUCAGACUAACCUUUAUAUGCUGUUCUUUAUCUAAAAAGAAAGCAAGAAAUGCUAACGUGUAGCAUAAGUUUACUUUUUGUGUUGUUUUUCUGACAUUUCAUUUUUGUAUUUAUUUUACUGUCUACUUACCAUUUGUAUACAGCACUUUGUGACCGCUCGCCUGUGAAAGGCGCUUCAUAAAUAAACAUUGCUUACUUACUGUUAUUCAGUUCAAAGUUUUGAAAUUAAGUAAACACUUCUCAAAUAUAA